GAUGAACGCUGGCGGCGUGCUUAACACAUGCAAGUCGAACGAAGCACUUUUAAUUAUUCGGAAGAGGAAGUGACUGAGUGGCGGACGGGUGAGUAACGCGUGGGUAACCUGAAUGAUACAGGGGGAUAACAGUUAGUAGUGACUGCUAAUACCGCAUAAGCCGAUAGAGUCGCAUUACUUAGUGGGAAAAGAUUUAUCGGUAGAAGAUGGACCAGCGUCUGAUUAGCUAGUUGGUGAGGUAAUGGCCCACCAAGGCGACGAUCAGUAGCCUGCGUGAGAGAGUGAACUGCCACAUUGGGACUGAGACACGGCCCAAACUCCUACGGGAGGCAGCAGUGGAGAAUAUUGCACAAUGGGAGAAACCCUGAUGCAGCAACGCCGCGUGAAGGAAGAAGUAUUUCGGUAUGUAAACUUCUAUCAGCAGGGAAGAAAAUGACGGGACCUGACUAAGAAGCCCCGGCUAACUACGUGCCAGCCGCCGCGGUAACAC
rnacentral:rRNA from 1 species